ACAACUUUCAGCAACGGAUUUCUUGGCUCUCGCAUCGAUGAAGAACGCAGCGAAAUGCGAUACGUAAUGUGAAUUGCAGAACUCAGUGAAUCAUCGAAUUUUUGAACGCACCUUGCGCUCUUUAGUCAUUCUGAAGAGCAUGCUUGUUUGAGUGUCGCGA
rnacentral:rRNA from 1 species